rfam:Podiceps cristatus contig85548, whole genome shotgun sequence.
UCAGAGGCUGUAUUUACAGCCACACACUUAUAAAUCUAUUAGAGA